GUGUUUACUUCAGAAGCAUAUAUAUUAAAUUUGGAAUGAUACACAGAAAAUUAUCAUGGCCUGUGGACAAGUAUUGCACACACACUAACACACACUCAAGUUUUCU